rnacentral:tRNA from 1 species
ACCUGUAUAGUUUAAUAAAGCAUUAAUCUUGUAAAUUAAAGAUAGAAAAAUUUUAAUUUCUUACAGGUA